rnacentral:ncRNA from 16 species
CCUUUUAAAUCAUGUGUAGGAACGAGCUAUGAUGCAAGCAAUGUUUUUCUUUAGUGCUGGAGCAGUUUUUGGUUAUUGCUAUCGUCAUUACGAUGCUAAAGUUAAAAAAGCCAAUGAUUCAAAAUAAAUGAUUAAAAAAGCCUGCUUCUUGAGUAGGCUUUUUU